rnacentral:tRNA from 1 species
GUAGAUAUAGUUUAAACAAAACAUCAGGUUGUGAUCCUGAAAUCAAGGGUUAAAAUCCUUUUAUCCACC